GAAAACUUUAAAGCAUAAGAAUAUGUGGCCGAUGUUUGAAAUCUCUACAAGGGUUGAAAUCACGUCAACCAGGACGCACCGUUUUGUUUUUUUGAAGCCCCCACUCCACCGGACCGUAUCUCGACGAAUUUGGGGGUUGUUUUUGAAUUUUUUUUUAUAUUAAUAAAAUUUUAAUAAAAAAAAGUAUUAAAAAUG